CCACCACCUCUCGCCGCCUAUAAAUAUAAGGCGAGCCCUCCCCUUUUCUCCACACAUCAACAGAGCCUCGAGCUCCCUUUCUCUCUCUCCAUCCAUGGCCGAUCGUCGACGCCGUCGGUCGAUCUCCCCAUCCGUAGCUCCACCUCCCCUAUCCUCGCGCCACCGGCUUCGCCUCCAUCCGGCGAGUCCGUUUUUCCCCUUUCCCCUCUCCCUCCACCUCUAAGUCAAGCCACCACCGCCAUCAUCCAUGCCGGCUCGAGGUGAGCCCUUGCCGCCGCCGUUCCGGCUAUAUAUCUCUCCCUCUCGGCCAGCCACCGACCUCCCCGGGUGCGCGUCGCUCGGGAACACGCGUGGCCGCUGUCGUCGAGGCCGUUCAUCCACCGGAGCAUCGGCGCCCCUCCUCUCCCUUCUCUCUGUUUGCUCGGCUGGAAGAGAAGAAGAAGCAGAAGAAGGAAGGAGGAAGAAGAAAGAGAAAAGAAGAAGAAGAGACAAAGAACUGACAGUAGAGUCUAUUAUAUUUUGGAUGGCAACCUGUGGUAUUUCAAAGAUCAGAUAAUCAGGUUGCCUAUCUCGCAUUUAUUUGCGUUGGAGCAAGGCAAGUUAUUAUUCCUCUCCUUUGAGCAUAAUAAUCCUAUAUUCUAUAUUUCCAGUAUCUUGUGCAUUAGCCAUACAUGAUUCUAAAUGCAUAACCUGAAUAUAUAGCAAACCAGAUAUAUGCUAGAUUUUGCUUAGCCAUGCCUAGUUAGAUUACAUAAAAUAUAAUAAACUUAGAUUGGAAUAGUACGGUAGAAAUGGUUGAUUUCCGGGUGGCUAGUACUGUUCCAACCGACAUAAAAUUGCCAAGUACAUGUGAAGAACAUACGAGUACGACCGCAAUUCUCGUAUGGGCAUAGACCUAGCUGAUUAAGUUAUCUAGCAAAGGUGGUACCUCUAUACAAUGGUUCUAUUUUAAGUCCUCGAGCAGGAGGCAAAUUUACGCCGAGCAGGGCGAUUGUGAUAUUUACCGAGGCACAGGUAAAUAUAUGAGAUUUAUUGAUGUCGACUUGUUUGUGAACCCUGAUUGCGAUGACAUGGUGUCAUACAAUCAGUUCUCUCUAAAGACCUUGGGAACGCUAGAACUCCUCUCGCUGCUGAUAACGUUACGUUCAGAGCGUAUGGGGACUAGAGUUUAUGGAACAGGUACCACUGAUGUUAGUAACCGAAAAGCUUUGCCAUGACAAGGCUAAUGUGUUUGGCACGUCAUGGAUUGCGGGUAAAGCGUACAUUUACUGCAGUAAAGUAUAAAUGAAUCUAUUCGAAUAGCCGUGCUCACGGAUUUGAGUAUUGAGACUCAUAUGGUAUUUGGUUAGAAACUUUAUUCCAAACUUUAUUAAAUACUGUUGCAUUUAAAACAUUUUAGGCUUUCUUCCUCUAUAUUCUUUGCUUUCUGCAAGUAAACCUAGCUCUACUCAGAUAUUACCAUUUCAUGCAUUCAUUAUUGAAUAUAAUAGCUUGCUGAGUACGUUGUACUCACCCUUGCUUCAACCCUUUUUUUUUCCAGAGUCAAUUUAAUGUUCUUACCGAAGCCGGGAGUUCAAUCAUAUAAGUUAGUGUCAUUUCAAUCUAAUUCUCAAGUCUAGAUUAGAUAGAUGGUUUAAGUCUAUAGCAAAACAUUAGAGUUGGCUCAUUCUAUAGCUUCUACUGUAAUAGUUAGCCACAAAUUUGUAAAUACCCGUAUAUUUUGUAAUAACAUCUCCUCUGGAGCCUUGUUCAAAUGUAUGCAAUGAAGAUCUAGAUUGUUGAACCUGUAUCAAUCUACUGAUCCAGGGCUUGAUACAGUCUAAACAUGUCGGUUUCCGAAUCAUUAGUUUCGGGACCCGACAACGAGGGGGAGCGCCGCCUGGGGGGGAGCCUGCUGCGGGGUCGCCAUGGCCGCCAUGGGUGGAGGUGAGGAGGGAGACGAGUGGAUUCUCCAUGUCUCGAUCGCCCUCUCCUGGCGCCGCGACCUUCCGCAUGUCCCGCCCCAACGUCGACUACCUCUACACCAAGCUCACCGCCGCCAUCGCCAAGGAGGACGCCGCCCUCCGAGCUGCCAUCCCCGUCCGCCAGCACGUCGCCGUCUGUGUCCGAUGCCUCGCCAUGGGGGAGCCACUCAGUAACAGGACGCGGUGCUUCCCGGCAGGCCAUGGAGCUCAUGGAGGGUUAAGAUGAAAUUUACUGUGGGAGUUCGCUUGGAUAUAUAUUUUUUUAAAAAAAUCAUGAGCUGCAAUUA